GACGAACGCUGGCGGCGUGCCUAAUACAUGCAAGUCGAACGCUUCUUUCCUCCCGAGGGCUUGCACUCAAUAGGGAAGAGGAGUGGCGGACGGGCGAGUAACCCGUUGUUAACCUACCCCUCAGAGGUGGAUCACACAUGGAAACAGCAGCUAUUACCGCAUAACAGUUUAUGCCGCGUGGCAUAAGAGUGGAAGGCGCUCUCGGGCGUCGCGGAUGGAUGGACCGUCGGUGCAUUAGCUAGUUGGUGAGGUAACGGCUCACCAAGGCGACGAUGCAUAGCCGACCUGGAGGGGGGAUAGGCCACACGGGAGCUGGGACGCGGCCCAGACUCCUACGGGAGGCAGCAGUAGGGAAUGGUCGGCAAUGGAGGAAAGUCUGACCGAGCGACGCCGCGUGAGUGAAGAAGGUUUUCGGAUCGGAAAACUCUGUUGUUAGAGAAGAACAAGGACGUUAGUAACUGAACGUCCCCUGACGGUAUCUAACCAGAAAGCCACGGCUAACUACGUG
rnacentral:rRNA from 1 species